rnacentral:rRNA from 1 species
GAUGAACGCUGGCGGCGUGCCUAAUACAUGCAAGUCGAGCGGACGGACGAGAAGCUUGCUUCUCUGAUGUUAGCGGCGGACGGGUGAGUAACACGUGGAUAACCUACCUAUAAGACUGGGAUAACUUCGGGAAACCGGAGCUAAUACCGGAUAAUAUUUUGAACCGCAUGGUUCAAAAGUGAAAGACGGUCUUGCUGUCACUUAUAGAUGGAUCCGCGCUGCAUUAGCUAGUUGGUAAGGUAACGGCUUACCAAGGCAACGAUGCAUAGCCGACCUGAGAGGAUGAUCGGCCACACUGGAACUGAGACACGGUCCAGACUCCUACGGGAGGCAGCAGUAGGGAAUCUUCCGCAAUGGGCGAAAGCCUGACGGAGCAACGCCGCGUGAGUGAUGAAGGUCUUCGGAUCGUAAAACUCUGUUAUUAGGGAAGAACAUAUGUGUAAGUAACUGUGCACAUCUUGACGGUACCUAAUCAGAAAGCCACGGCUAACUACGUG